GUCUUCCGUAGGGGUAACCUGCGGAGGGAUCAUUACACAAAUAUGAAGGCGGGCUGGAACCUCUCGGGGUUACAGCCUUGCUGAAUUAUUCACCCUUGUCUUUUGCGUACUUCUUGUUUCCUUGGUGGGUUCGCCCACCACUAGGACAAACAUAAACCUUUUGUAAUUGCAAUCAGCGUCAGUAACAAAUUAAUAAUUACAACUUUCAACAACGGAUCUCUUGGUUCUGGCAUCGAUGAAGAACGCAGCGAAAUGCGAUAAGUAGUGUGAAUUGCAGAAUUCAGUGAAUCAUCGAAUCUUUGAACGCACAUUGCGCCCUUUGGUAUUCCAAAGGGCAUGCCUGUUCGAGCGUCAUUUGUACCCUCAAGCUUUGCUUGGUGUUGGGCGUCUUGUCUCUAGCUUUGCUGGAGACUCGCCUUAAAGUAAUUGGCAGCCGGCCUACUGGUUUCGGAGCGCAGCACAAGUCGCACUCUCUAUCAGCAAAGGUCUAGCAUCCAUUAAGCCUUUUUUUCAACUUUUGACCUCGGAUCAGGUAGGGAUACCCGCUGAACUUAAGCAUAUCAAUAAGCCGGAGGAA
rnacentral:rRNA from 1 species